CACGCCGCGCGCGGCACGCGGUGCUGUCGCGCGCGGCAAGAUUCACGAAAAGCGGCAGCAACGCGCGGCAAACGCGCGAAUGGGUGCGAGACCCAUUUUUCGCGGCAGACGCAAAACGACCACCAAUCAGAAGCGAGCUGCUUUACGAACCGCGCUGUUGUGGCGCCACCUGUGGCAUAAGCUAAGAAUCAUAAUCUAUGGGCUCCGUGACACGCACGCCGUAAAUCUCAGACACGCACGCCGUAAAAUCUCAGAGGCCAUUUCCAGUCAAGGGGGCUGUUUUUGUUAAGCCUUCCCACACUGCCAUCGAGACAUCGUCGAAGAAGUCGCAAUGGAAGCGUUUUUAGAAACUGUUCGCGACUAUCCGUGCCUAUACGAUAAAUCGAACGGCGAUUUCAAAGAUAAGGAGCUGCGCGCCAACCGCUGGCACAUUAUUGGACAACAGUUUGGGAUGACAGGUGAGUAAUUGGUGAAAUUUUCUUAAUGUUUCGGGAACAUGUGUGAGCAUGUCAUUGUGUUUGUACAUACCAUGCAGGCGAGCAGGCAGCGGCGAAGUUCAAGAACUUCCGCGACCGCUGGCUUAAGGUAGCGGUGGAGAAAAAGAAAGCUUACAAGAGUGGUGCUCCCGGCAAGGAAGGGAAGGCGAAAACGGAGUGGCCGUACUAUUACAUUCUUGACAGUUUUCUGCGGAAGACGCCUUACUACGCGGAAAAAUUAACCACGAAUAUCCCACUGCCACAAGAUGGACACCUGCAGCAGGCCGAAGAGGCACUGUCAACCAGCAGUGCUGCAGGCGAUUGGUAUUUUGUUUCUUUCUGUUUACGUACUGGGACCUGCAUGUGGUACUCUGACAAAUAUUCAUUCAACAUAGAUAAAUCUUAUAUGCAGUUGGCCCAACCCAUCGCCAGCUGAAGAAGUGCUGGAUGAAAUGUAUGCCUUGUCACAUUUUUUUUUUUUUUAGCGCUACCAUGUAUUACGUCUACGUACUUCUGUUUAUUAUUUGUUGAUGUCAAUGCAGAUGCUCUGGGAGAACACCUAUGUUCACUUCAGAUGAUGAAGAGAGCUGUGGGUGGGUACUUGUGAAUUUAUUGUGAAUGAUCAAUCAUAGAACACACAUGCAUGAAACACACUUGCUAAAUGAAAUAGUUUAUUACUUACAAAGACUGAUAAUGUAUUGCAUAAAUUGUCUUGCUGGCAGUAAAAUGCUGUGCACCACAUACUGGACGUUUCAUAUCCUGUUGUCUCAUCGAAACACAUUCUUUAUGUAUUUCAGCUUGCUCAGUCCAACCCCGACUGAGGCUGCAGCAUCUUCCGGGUGAGCUUGUCUCAAGGAAUUUUACAUUGUAUCUCUCUUAACAGAUGAUAUUUUUCUUUUCAUGCGUCAUCAAGGUCCAACAGUGGCGCAAACAGAGCCCAGCCGCCAGCGCAGCCUUCCCAAGUGCGACUUUCCUCGGCACCACAGUAUCGUAAAAGAAGAAAGAAUGACACGUUUGAAGAAGCCGUACAGGAAGCACUGGGUAGCUGCAGCAGCACACUGAGCAGGAUUGAGAGUACUAGGAAGCUUGGAGUACCUAGUACCGAAAGCCCACCAGACGAAUGCCAGCAGGCGGCCAACUGGAUGGCCACAAAGCUGCGAAAGUUUCCGGCAAGGAAACGCUCGGAGAUACU